CUCUGUGAAGUUAAGCAGCCUCAAGCUCGUGUAAUACUCGGGUGGGUGACCACCGGAAAAGUCCGGGUG
rnacentral:rRNA from 1 species